GAAGUCGCGACGAUGUUUGGGUGUCAGACCCAAACGCGUAAUGAAAGUGGACGGAGGUAAGAGCCCCUUGGGGUGCAUUUUCGACUGAUCGUGAUGUCUUCUGAUGGAUUUGAGUAAGAGCAUAGCGGCUAGGACCCGAAAUAUGACGAACUAUACAUGAAUAGGGUGAAGCUGGAGGAAACUCUGGUGCAGGCUCGCAGCAGUUCUGACGUGCAGAAUUUGGAGUGUAGAGUAAUAUCAAAUGUCUCGAAAUUUG
rnacentral:ncRNA from 1 species